rnacentral:pre_miRNA from 1 species
AAUAUACUCCCUCCGUCCUAAAAUAAGUGUCUCAACUUUGUACUAACUUUAUUACAAAGUUGUACUAAGCUUGAGACACUUAUUUUGGGACGGAGGGAGUAAUAU